rnacentral:rRNA from 1 species
UACGAAGGGUGCAAGCGUUACUCGGAAUUACUGGGCGUAAAGCGUGCGUAGGUGGUUGUUUAAGUCUGUUGUGAAAGCCCUGGGCUCAACCUGGGAACUGCAGUGGGAAACUGGACAACUAGAGUGUGGUAGAGGGUAGCGGAAUUCCCGGUGUGAGCAGUGAAAUGCGUAGAGAUCGGGAGGAACAUCCAUGGCGAAGGCAGCUACCUGGACCAACACUGACACUGAGGCACGAAAGCGUGGGGAGCAAACAGG